UCAGCCGGUCUCCGAAUGCACUAGAGUUUAAUUGAUCAUGGCUCAGAUCACGCUGGUAGCAGGCCUACCACAUGCAAGUCGAGCGGAUGACGGGAGCUUGCUCCUUGAUUCAGCGGCGGACGGGUGAGUAAUGCCUAGGAAUCUAGCCUGGUAGUGGGGGACAACGUUUCGAAAGGAGAACGCUAAUACCCGCAUACCGUCCUACGGGAGAAACGCAAGGGGACCUUCGGCGCCUUGCGCUAUCAGANUGAGCCUAGGCUCGGAUNAGCUAGUUGGCUGACGGUAAUUGGCUCACCAUAGGACGACGANUCCGUAACUGGUCCUGAGAGGAUGACUCAGUCACACUGGAACUGAGACACGGCUCCAGACUCCUAG
rnacentral:rRNA from 1 species